rnacentral:tRNA from 1 species
GUAAAAUAAAGAUGUUCUAAUUUGAAAUUAGAGUUUGGCGUUUUAGUUGACGCAUUUUACU